ACACAUGCAAGUCGAGCGGUAAGGCCCUUCGGGGUACACGAGCGGCGAACGGGUGAGUAACACGUGGGUGAUCUGCCUCGUACUCUGGGAUAAGCCUGGGAAACUGGGUCUAAUACCGGAUAUGACCACGAGUCGCAUGGUUUGUGGUGGAAAGAUUUAUCGGUGCGAGAUGGGCCCGCGGCCUAUCAGCUUGUUGGUGGGGUAAUGGCCUACCAAGGCGACGACGGGUAGCCGGCCUGAGAGGGCGACCGGCCACACUGGGACUGAGACACGGCCCAGACUCCUACGGGAGGCAGCAGUGGGGAAUAUUGCACAAUGGGCGGAAGCCUGAUGCAGCGACGCCGCGUGCGGGAUGACGGCCUUCGGGUUGUAAAC
rnacentral:rRNA from 1 species